rnacentral:rRNA from 1 species
GAUGAACGCUGGCGGCGUGCCUAAUACAUGCAAGUCGUGCGGAAAGGCCCUUCGGGGUACUCGAGCGGCGGACGGCAGAGUAACGCGUAGGAACAUACCCCAAAGUGAGGGAUAACUGCUCGAAAGAGUAGCUAAUACCGCAUGUGAUCUUCGGAUUAAAGCUUUAUGCGCUUUGGGAAUGGCCUGCGUUCGAUUAGCUAGUUGGUGAGGUAAUAGCUCACCAAGGCUACGAUCGAUAACUGGUCUGAGAGGAUGAUCAGUCUGACUGGAACUGAGACACGGUCCAGACUCCUACGGGAGGCAG